UCAACAUUAUAUCUGAUAUCAUGGAUUGUGUCCAAUUUUGGAACUGAAAGAACCUCAGUGAAUUUUAAAUGGCAUUGACUUUUAUAGAUGAAGAGCUUAUGGAUAUGAAAAGGCUUUCCCAAAGAAGCCAUGGAGUAGAAUCCAGGUCUCCCAGUUCGUGAUCAGUCUUCCAUCUCCCUGGUGGGCCAGAGAUAUUUCAAGUUGGCAGAGUCAAGCAUGAGCAAGGAGAUGGUGUGGGGCAGAGUGUGAACCAUAUAUUCCUAGACCCCAGUGAUGAAGGCUAAAUGAGACAAUAUACGUCAUGCAUCUUGCACUUCCUGCCACACAGAGCUUCCAUGGAUACUGAAAGAUCAGCUGACACGUGCCUUCAAGGCUAAAAUGAAUGUGGAUAUCAAUAGUGAUGAGAAGAAAUGGUCUAAAAUAAAGAAACAGCAUGUGCAAAAGUGAAGAUUAUGAUGCUAUGUCAGUUACCUUCAGGACCCAAUUGUAGCCACUUCAGCUGGCCCAGGCUUUCCCGAAAUGUGAAGACAGCAAACUCCCACUCUUCCUCCUGCAGACUGGUGGCAAAAACACAAAGUCCACUUGAGACCAUGAAGUCCAAGGAUCUUUUCUUAUUCCUGGAAUAUACUAGGAAAAAUACAGGCACCGUGCAGCGGGUGCUGUGUUCUAGCUGCUCUGUUAACUGCCAGUUACCUCAUUUGAUCCUGAUGACAACCCUUGGGUAGGUAUUGUGGUUACCUCCAUUCUAUCUCUGGAAGAACUAAGAAUGGAGGUUAAGUAACUUUCCUGAGGCUCCUUAGCUAAGUCUCUAGGACUGGAAUGGAGCCAGGCAGCCUGACUCAAGAGCCCCACUGAGUGCUCCUCCACAGAGGACACAGCUUCUGCACCCCUGCAGGGAGAGGCCCCAACCACAGGAUUGAUAUGGGGAAAAGUGGCCUUAUUUGGCUUUUAAUGAAUUACUCUACCUCCCUUGAUUUCAAAAUAAAGGAGAAGGCUUAGAUCUUGAGAAUCCAUUUGGAUUCAGUGUAAGAAUAACCAUAGUUUGUAUCCUGGCUGGGCUGCUUACCAGGUUCAAGAUAAAAAGAAACAACAAUGAAUCCAACAAAUCAACAAAGCACAAAGUCCAACAACAAAAAAACAAACAAAGAAAAGAAAAAGAAGGGCAAACUGGUCUGAGUUUGAGUUCUUGCUCUUCUCUGAGGGAGUUUGGGCCACCUUUUAGCUGCAGUGUGUCUUGGUUUCCUUACGGGUAAAAUGGGUAUGUUCAUAACUUCUGUGGCCAUUGCACAGUCCAAGAGGGCUGCACUUCCCUUCCCACAUGUGCUUCUUCUGCUGUGGAGCUUACAUUGCUCCCUGGAGCAGAUACCUAAAGAUGUGGGAGUGAGUGAGCCUCCCAGUGGUUCUAUGCCCAGCCUUUAAGCUGGCCCAGCUGACACCAAAUGGAACAGGGCUGACUUGCCAUUUCUCAGCCCAAAGCACAUCAUAAAUGUGUGAGCAAAAUAUCAGGUGCAGUGGCUCACACAUGUAAUCCCAGUGCUUUGGGAGGCUACAAUGGGAAGAUUGCUUGAGCCCAGGGGUUUAAGGCCAGUCUGGACAACAUCAUGAGCCCCCAUCUAUAUUAGUCUGUUUCACACUGCUGAUAAAGACAUACCUGAGAAUGGACAAUUUACAAAAGAAAGAGGUUUAAUUGGAUUUACAGUUCCACGUGGCUGGGGAAGCCUCAUAAUCAUGGUGAACAGCAAGGAGGAGCAAGUCACAUCUUACAUGGAUGGUGGCAGGCAAAGACAGAGUAAGAGCCAAGCAAAAGGGGUUUCUCCUCAUAAAACCAUCAGACCUCGUGAGACCUAUUCACUAUCAUGAGAACAGUAUGGGGGAAACUGCCACCAUGAUUCAACUAUCUCCCACCAGGUCCCUCCCACAACAAUGGGAAUUAUGGGAGAUACAACUCAAGAUGAGAUCUGGGUGGGGACACAGCCAAACCACAUCACCAUCUCUAUAAAAAAAUACAAAAAAGUUAGCUGGGCAUGGUGGCACUUGCCUGUGGUCCCAGGCACUCUGAAGGCUGAGAUGGGAGGAUUGCUUAAGCCCA